CAACCCCUUAAGCCCCUGUUGCUUAGCGUUGGGAGCCUACGGUCCGCCGUAGCUCCUUAAAGUUAGUGGCGGAGUCGGCCCGCACCCCAGGCGUAGUAGUUUAGUCAGCUCGCCCGCGGUCGGACCGGUCCCCUGCCGUAAAACACCCCUUAUUCUCGCAA
rnacentral:misc_RNA from 1 species